rnacentral:lncRNA from 10 species
AAAAAAUAAAUAGCCAACUUUUCCAUAUAUCCUUGAUAUUUAAAAAAUGUGUUUGUCACAUAAAAUUCUCUAUUGAGAACUACAAAGGAGCUGGAUUGUAGUGCUUGCAUGUGGUAGAAGUGGCACAAAUACCAGGAAAAUUUAGCCAGAAAUUUCUUUCACUUGCCAUUUCAACAUUUUAUGCUUCUUUUGAAGAGUAUCACAAAUGAUGCAUCAGAAUUCUGAAUAAACUUCUUCAUCUAUGAAAAGGAAACAACACUGAACACUGUACUUUCUUAUUUUCCUGGCAAUUCCUUAUAAUAUAGGUUAACAAGGCAACCUAUUUGUAGUCCUGUUCUUUCAUAGGUAAAGAAACUGAGGACUUAGCAGAUGAAGUGUUAUGAUUAAGACUAUGCAGUUGCUCAAGAUGUCCAUAAAGAAAGUAAACUAAUAACUACUAUCCUGCCUAGAUUGUCUAGUCAAUAGAUUAGGCUUGCUUGCAGACACCAGCAAGGUAUGACUUCAGAAAUAUUUCGGCAGAACAUGGCAAAGACUUUCAUGUCGACAUUAAAAAUAAGUUAAGAAAAUCAAAACUUUGUUGGAUCUCCUGAUACUUAUUUUAUGUUUCAGUAUUGCUUUUAUUCUAAUUUUAUACUAUGGAUGGGUGGGGAGGUGGGGACAUGAUCGUUUUAGAGUGUAGGACCUCUUCAAAUCAUCAUCUGGCUUUCAUGUUUGAAACUUAUUUUGGUCUUUUAUAUUGACGACCACCUUUAUAUUUUUACUAGAAGAGUCUCAAACUAACUUUGCAUUAUUUAUAAUUCAUAUAAAAGUCUGUGUGUUCAUAUCAGCCUUAGUUUCUUUGGGCCUUUCCCAAGUGUAUCUCCUCCUUCCUUGACGAAUACCAGCACCUGAGAACAAAAUGUCAUUCCCUUGUACAAGGCAUGAGUAGAGGCUGAACUGGGCAUUAAGAUGGAAUGAGUCAAGCAACAGCCAUAGCUGAGCGUUCUGAAGCCCGACUUCUGGAAUUUUUCCUUCUUAUAACAGAACUUCUUGGGGGCUUAAGGCAAAAGAUCACACACAGAUAAGCAAGGCAGCCACUCCUCUCAUCAAAAAUACUACACAUACACCAUGUUAGAAAGUACUGCUAUGAAUCAGAAUCCCCAAGAUUAAAGGGACCAUAGACUUCCUCUAAUCUUUGCAAAUGCCAUAUUAUAAAAUUGUGCAUUUUAAUGGGAGCACCUUUACAUGAGUUACCAGACUAGUGAAAGAAGACAGAAUUUAGUUAUCCAUUCAUUUGAAUGCUACAUUACCAUCAGUUAAAGGGAUGAUUUUUAUCUUUAUCUUCAAUUCACCUAAAAUGCAGGUGGUACACUUGACUUAAACACAAUAAGAAACAUCAUUGGAUAUUUGAAAUCUGUGCUUUUGGCAUCUCUUGGAAAGGAUCUUGUAAUAUUAAUAACACAGAAUAAAAGUUUUAAUGUUCAACCAUUAGUAUUUCUUUAACAAAUUUUGGUGAUGUGUAUAUUGGAAUAAAGCAAAUCAAAUAUGCAAUGAAUUUUUUUUCUUUUUUUUUUUUUUGAGAUGUAGUUUCACUCUUGUUGCUCAGGCUGGAGUGCAAUGGUGGGAUCUCGGCUCACAACAACCUCCACCUCCCGGAUUCAAGCCAUUCUCCUGCUUCAGCCUCCGGAGUAGCUGGGAUUACAGGCAUGCACCAUCACGCCCGGCUAAUUUUGUAUUUUUUUGUAAGUAGAGAUGGGGUUUCUCCAUGUUGGUCAGGCUGGUCUUGAACUCCCUUUUGUAUUUUAAUAGCUUGUGAUGAGGUAGGUUUACUCUCUAGCUAUUCAGUCAGUUCCAUUUGAUAUUGAGUUAAGUAACUCUUUUGAUAAUGAUUCGGCUAAUCACAAUUCCAAGCCUCCAGUGCAUGCAAAGUGGAUGUGAACUGAUGACAAUGAUAUAAAUUUAAUUUGUCAGUGCCAUGAGGAAAAUGAUGAGCCAGAUAUUUAUAAUAAGGAAAGACAUAAAAGUAUAUCUUUACCAGACUCAGCUAAGAGUUUCAGCUUAGAUUUGACAUUUUCUUUGGAUCAUCCUUGGAAAAGAUAAUAGAGGUAAUUUAUCUGUGUCUUGACUUUUUAUGUAUUUAUGACAUACAAAUACCUUCCACAAAAAUCUGAAGGAAGUUUGGCCUACGGUAGAAGCAUGAAUGGCAAUGUUGUUGGUGAUAAUUAUUGUGUCCCCUGUUCUACCUGUAGUAUUGCUUAAUUGAAUAAUGGGAUUAUGGGGACAGAAGCAGAGCUCUCUAUCGACCUGCUACAGUUAGGUUUUUAAUAAUUUGCUUAUGUUGCAUGUUUUAUCAGCAACACACUGAGCAAAUGGGUUUUCUGUCUGAAUUACGAACUUCAUUUCUCUGUUGAUAGUUUACGAAUAUUAGCCAUUAAGUGACAGAUUUUCUUGUGUGUGUUUGUAUUCAUUGCUCUCUAGAGUGGUUGUUAUAUCUUGAAUAUGCCAGCUGUCUCUUGGAACUACUUUACAAAAUAAGAGGAUUUUUUUUUCCUCAAAGGAGUAUUUUUCUUCAUAAAGGGAAAGUCAAGCUCUAUUUUCCCCCUACAUUAUUUGAUAAAAUUAAAUAUCGUAAAGGAAUGUUUCCUUUCCAAAUUAUUUCUUUCACAUAAAUGGCACUUACUUCAAAGAUUUUUGCAUUAUUUUCCCAAAUAGUGAGGAGCAGCACAAAGGAAUCUGACUUGAGUUUAAUGGUGUUAGGUGGUAAACACUGCAUAGCACUUAGAAUCCUCUCCAACAGUAAUAUAUGAUAAGACAUUUUUAUUAAUAAAAACUAUAGAAUAUUAUCUGUAAUUUCUACAAAUUCUUUAUGCUUGAUAUUUAUUUCUGCAAAUAGAAAGUGGGUAUCUUGCUGAGAAGAAAUGUAAAACAUAAGGAAUCUGGGCAAUGAUAAUUGUGUCUAGACAUGGAUGUUUUAAUCUCUUCCUCCUCUCCCCCAUGCAAUGAGAAGUGGCUGUGAAUUCUAAAUCAAGAAGGCUGAUAUUGAAAUCUACAUACAUUUCAGUAUCAGCAAGAAUUAUGGUUUGAUGAAAGGAUCACACCUUCUGGUUAAAAUACAGUGGAUAAAAACAUGAGACAGUGAAGUCUCAUACGACACUGCUGAGAGUAAUAAGCUUAGGAGACAUCAGCAGGAAGAAGACCAUGGGCUAGCUCAAGUAUGACAGAUCAGUGAGAAUGGGAUUACUUCUAAAACUGUCAGACUUGCGUGGGAGGCUUCCAUGCUCCUCUGCAUAAAUUCAUGGCUGACUGAUGGAAAGUUCUAUAGUCAGAGGAUAAAAGUAUCAUCUCUAGAGCUUGAGUACCUAGUACAACUGGGAACUAAUUCAAAAUAUACAGCAAAAGCAAUCCAUGAGAACCCAGCCAAAGGAAGAUGAAGAAAAGUGAGCUAUGCAGGAACAGUAUUCCAUGAAAAUGAAGGUCGGCUUCACAGGAAAAAUAUCUCGACAGGAUUUGCAUAUUAAGGAAGUAUCCUGACUUCCAAACUUUUUGUUCCAAAGACCAAUUAAACUGCAGAAAGAGAAUGCACGUGAUUUAGGAAGCCAUUUUGCUGGGUCCUCCAGGGGAGAAAGAAGACAAACAAAAAAAAUCCUGCUUUGUGGUCUUAUUGAGAUACAGAAAAGUUGUAUCUGCCAAUGGAUAGGAGCCCAUACAUGCACAUUCACUAUUUCAAUAUCCAAGCAAUCACUUGCACCUUAUUCCAGUUAGCAAACCAGAGUGGUUUGUUUGAAAAUCUUAUUUUCUGAAUGCAAAGAUAAUGUCACCUAUGAUUGGACCACAUUAGCUAACUAGAAAAUGACUGCCUUUCCUUAUGCCUACUCAGGAACACACUUCCAUCAUUAUAGGGUUUUAUCCCUCACCAGGAGCUGGGAUGAAUCCUGUCUAUGUGGAAUCAAAUACAUAUAGACAGAAGUAAAUAAAAUAUCAAAGUAAAUAAACACCAGAGGUAAACAUGGUGCUUUUUUUGUUUGUUUUUUAGGAUUCAAAUUUUCGAGAUCACUUUUGUUACAGUAUGCCUUUUUAUUUUGGAGAUUACAAAAUGAUAAAAUAGGAUUGCUCAGAGCCUAUGUAUGUCCAAGUUAUAUUCUCACAGGCAGCUUGGGGAGUUCAAUGACAUGGAAAGACCGUGGAAGUGGUUUCCAGUGAGUUGAAAGAGUUAAAGCAACUUUCAAAGGCAACUCCUAGCAUGUAAUUUAUAUGCAUAGAGAAUCCACCUCAUUUUCCCUAAAGACCAAAAUGUCCAUUCCCAUCUGCUAGCAUAUUUUUAAUCGUUAUUUAUUAUCAUAGAUGUUGGAAAAGGAAAUACUUAUUCAUACCACCAUGUUCCCAGAAGCAUAUUUUUUCAAGAGAUCCUGACAACUACCCUAGUCAAACUUUAAAUAAUUCCAAGGUUUUUUAUCACUGACUUAAAAAAAUUUCAAAUUAGCACUCCUGAGUUUUUCCCCUGAUAUCUGUAAUUAAUCUGUCAACCUCAAUAAAACCAAUUUUUCUAAAUCAUUCUAUGUGCUGAUAGUCCUCAACAUUUGCAAGAUAGAACAACUAGAAAUGCUUUGUUUUUGCUACCAUAAAAAUUUCUUUAGGUCAUUUAUUAGCCCUUAGUAUUUGUCUUCUUUGAAUUAUUAGAUACGUUUUUCUAUAUUUUUAAGUUCAGAGUAUCUGUGCUACAUUUAAUAGGAAUUCUGGUUUUUUUUCUCACAAAGUAUCACUGAAUUAUGUAUAGGACUAUGUCAUUUGUAUGUGAGAUCUUUG